UCCCUGGUGGUCCAGUGGCUAAGAUUCCAAGUUCCCAGUGCAGGGGGCCCAGGUUCAAUUCCUGGUCAGGGAA
rnacentral:tRNA from 1 species